rnacentral:lncRNA from 1 species
CAGGUGCUGUGUGAGCAUUACUGGCUGACCGACUCUACCCCGGACACCCAUGGUCACAUCACCAUCCACCUCCUAGCUGAGGAGCCUGAGGAUGAGUGGACCAAGCGGGAAUUCCAGCUGCAGCACGUUGUCCAGCAACAUCAACGGAGGGUGGAGCAACUGCAGUUCACCACCUGAUCCGACCACAGCAUCCUUGAGGCUCCCAGCUCCCUGCUCGCCUUUAUGGAGCUGGUACAGUAGCAGGCAAGGGCCACCCAGGGCGUGGGACCC